GGAAUAUUGCGCAAUGGGCGAAAGCCUGACGCAGCGACGCCGCGUGGGGGAUGAAGGUUUUCGGAUUGUAAACCCCUUUCAUGAGGAAAGAUAAAGUGGGUAACCACUUAGACGGUACCUCAAGAAGAAGCCACGCCUAACCUCGUCCCAGCAGCCGCGGUAAAACGAAGGUGGCAAGCGUUGGUCGGAUUUACGGGGCGGAAAGAGCACGUAGGCGGUUGGGAAAGCCUCUUGGGAAAUCUCCCGGGUUAACCGGGAAAGGUCGAGAGGAACUAUUCAGCUAGAGGACGGGAGAGGAGCGCGGAAUUCCCGGUGUAGCGGUGAAAUGCGUAGAUAUCGGGAAGAAGGCCGGUGGCGAAGGCGGCGCUCUGGAACGUACCUGACGCUGAGGUGCGAAAGCGUGGGGAGCAAA
rnacentral:rRNA from 1 species